GUAACUACAAAGCAUUACAUGUCUCAUAUUCUGUUUAAUAAUCUUACUUUGACCUCUCAUUUAUUCUAAGUUUUUAGCUCCUUGGAUAUCUUUUCCUCCCAGUGUUAAUGGAAUUUCAGCACUUCGUCUUAAAAUCCAUGGGUUCAACUAACUAUGCUGAACAAGAUAUCUGCAUAAGUAGAAAAUUUAUCCCUCUCUUUUGCAGCUGCAGGAAAAAUGUUAUUCCAGAUCAUAAACCCUCCUUGCAAGAAAAAAGUAUUUUGCAACAUCUAGAAUUUAGAUAUAAUUGCCAUCUAGAGUGAGCAAAUCUCAAACUCUGAAAUAUCUAUCAUUUUGAUUGAUUGUAUUAUUUACCAAUGUGUUAUGCCCAGGUAAUAACAUCUCUGUUGUCAAACGAAAGCUAGAAAGAUAUUACACAAAGGUAAAAUAUAAUAAAUCAACUCUGGUAGAUGUCUUAAAGUGUUUUGUUUUUUGCAUUUCCAAUGGCAGAUGAAAUCAGGGCAAGAAACCGAAGUAAUGAUUACUCACAAGUAAGAAUACUUGCUUGCUGAACACUUGCUGAAGACACACUUAAUAAUUUGAAAUUGUUCAAUCAGCAUCAUACAAUAUUAUUAAAAUUAACUAAUAUAUCCACAUGCACUAUCUAAAUGCCAAACACCAAGAAAAAAAUGCAGCAGAGCACGAAAAAUAAUUUUUCAUUGGAAACAAUUUCUCAGCAUUUUCUUACGUACAAUGAAAGACAGAAGACAACAAAGAGAAACCCCUUUAAAGAUUACAUCCCUGCUGAAGAACUCAUAAUGUCAAACACAUUCUACUUCAUCACAACAGACUGCCUUACUGGCCCUAAAUGUCACUUAAAGAAAAUGAUAUCCACCCAACAGGGGCUUGGUUUUGCUUAUUGAGCCAUUGGUGAUCAUGGCCAUUAACAUUACAUAUAUACUGGUAAGUACUAGCGAAGCCCCAUUGCCUCUUGGGAUUCAUCUCAUAGCAACAGGUCUUAAUUUUAUUUCCAAGCCAUAUCCUUAGAACACUCUCCAAAGAGUUUUCAACAGGACAAAUGGGUUGAUAUGGUUUGGGUAAUUACCAUUAUCUCAGAAACUUGUGGAACCACACCAGCUGAAAACGAUAUGUUAUCAUUUACCCUCUUGCAGAAAAAAAUAUAUUUUUGAGAUAUCCCAAACUGAUUCUCUCAAAGACACAAAAUCAUUAUCCCUAUUUUUGUGUUGUGUGUAUCCAUGACUAAUUAUGAUAGAAAAUGAGAGUUUGAGAAAAAAACACAACCAUUAAAAUUGCCUAUGUCAAUUUUCCCCUCACAGUAGGAUCAGACCAGCCUCCACGAGGAAUCUAGUUAUUUAUUUGGCAAUCUGGCUCUUCAGGUUUGGGAGGGGAAGAGUUUCCGCCUGAGACAAAGGAAGAGAACAAGUAGUGUGAGGUAUUGCAGAGCCAAUGAGAAAAUGAAAAGAUUCCAGCUGAGUGGGAUUAAGAGCAAAUUCUAAGUCACUUGGGCUAAGGUGGGACUGUGGUUGAGAUGUGAUACACCAUGUGAUAUGAAAUUUAGAGAAGAGAGAAUUGGAGCAAGAGUUCAGGGCCAAGUGAGUGAGUCAAUUCAGAGUGGCACUAGACUCUGGUGGUUAAAGCUCACCUUUGGCCCAGCAGAUGGGUGUAUCUGGGUGUUUUCUAUACCCCAGGGACAGGCAGACACACUGUGACCCAAAAUAUCUCAUCUGCUUGUGUCACCUUUCACUUCUACUGAUUAUCCAACCUGAAAUUCUCACCAAAUGCCAUUCUGAUUAGAGGGUCACCUAUUCAUUUAUCCAACAUUCCACCCAAUAUACGGCAGGACUGAUCCAAGAACCAGAGGCACAGAAGUGAAUUUCUACCUGCAGAGGCUGUUCUUUAAGUACAUUUGAUUAAUAAGAAAACAGAUUUUUGAUGAGUGAUCAGUGAACACACUAUGAGUCAACAAAGAAGAGCACUGUUAACCCUGCAUUGGAAGCUCUGGAGAAUUCCUCAGAGGAGGUAGCAUUUAGGCUGGUCUGGAAGGAAGAUGAGCCUGAUACUAAAAAUAUGGGGUAAGUGGUACUCCAAGCAGAGGAGCAAUAUACAGUAACCAAUGUGUGAAACUCAACUGAGUCAUGAGACAAAGUGUUCAGAGAAUAAAAUAGCUCAUUGUCACUGGCCCUGGGAUAUAUAUUUAUGGGUCAGGGCAAAGAUAGUGGUGUGAAAGUUAAACAUGAAAGGAGGAAGUAGGAAGAGACAACCAUGAAGAACACUACCAGUCAUUCCAAAGAGUUUGAAGGACUUUUUUCUGGAUUUGGUUGGACACGUUCCACGGGCAGAAAGGAAAACUAGAGCUAUUGCAAUAAUUACAUGUGAAACUAAGUAUCGAUAUCUGACAUAAGGCAAAGGCUGUCACAGACAAAGAGGUAAGAAAGUAUUUGGGAUACUUAAACCCAAAAUUACUAGGAUUUGGUGAUCAACUGAUGAAGGGGGCCAGGAGCAAGCAGGAAUCUUGAUACUUUCAUUUGUUUCUAGGUGAGGAAGCUGGAUAAACAAAAGGACCAUUUAGCAAGACAGAAGAACAUGAGAAGAGAGAUUUUGUUGGAAAGGUAACAAGUUCCAUUCUGGAUAUAUAGAGUGUGCAAAGCCUAUAAGACACCCAGUGUGAAAUAGUCAGUGUGCAUUUCAACACGUGAAGCAGGGGCUCAGGGGAGAGUAAGCAGGUAUGUGUUGCUCAGAGCACCAGGAAUGGAGAAGGCCACAGGGGAGGAUAUGGAGACAGAAGAAGGCAGAUGAAAGCUUUCAGCUUGAAGCACACCAGUACCAAGGGGUGAAAGAUAAGAAGGGCUGGUGUGGGGCGUGAAACAGGUGAGGAUGGCCAGAGAGCAACAAAGAGAGAAGUGGUAGGCAUGUGUCAAAGAAAACAGGACAAGGUUGCAAGAACAGAAUGGUGGAAAACAGUGUCUAGCAGAGGCUAAAUAAGGACUGGAAAACAAUUCCUGGAUUUAGGAAACUAGAAAAUCAUUGGUAACCUUAGUGAGGAUAAUUCCACAAAGUGGUUUUUAUCUCCCUGGCUGUGGUGAGUGUUGGAGGAGCUGGGGAGUACUGACAGUGGAAGACAUGCCUGGAAGAAGAGGUGACAGUGCAGGAGAUGCCAAGUCCAGCCAGCAAGGGUGAUCCACUCUGUGAAAUGCUGGGCUGUGGGGGAACAGGAGGAGGAUGCUAAAGAGGACAAGACGUUUGAGGAAGGGGUUUUGUUUAAAGAAGAGACACCCGAGCUUAUGUACAGCUUGGGAAGCAGAGACAUCAAAAAUACAGGAGGGAGUGGCUUGAUGCUGCCAGGCUCCCUGGAAGUGGGAGGGGACUACUGGAGUCAAGGUGGAGAAUUUUCCUUCCACUUUUGCAGCCCUCCUCUCCUGGAGAGACCAGGGCUAAAGGCAUAUAACUCUGCAAGCAGGAGCAGCCAGGGAGACUUUCAGAUGCUAAAAGGAGGAGGUCAAACUUCCGGACCUUCCCACCUCUGCCCUUAAACUUUUAAUGUGAUACCCAAGUUAUCAGAACACCGUGAGAAACAGGGACCCCAGCAUCUAUGGUUUUUAAAUCUCCCCUAAAAUGACUUCAGUGUCCAGCCAUGCUUGGGAAUGACCACUUUCAACUUUUUGCCACUUUCCACACAUAGCCAUCCUCUCUCUGACAAUUUGGUAAAAUGUGCCUUUUAUCUUAGAAACAAGUAUUUAUUAUCUCAGGUGGCCUUUAAAUACCUCUUCCUGAUACUGUUAGUUGGGACGUUUGUUGCCUUGUGAUUUAAAUUCAAAAUCUUCUAAUGAAAUGGGUUAUUUGUUUUCCAUAAGGAUUUUAAAAGGCAGCUCUCUUUAUAUUCAUAUACCUCAAUUCUUCAAAUUUCCCCCCAAAUAAUAAAUCUAAUAAUUUAAGAAGAAAAAAAAGUCUGUAUCUUAGAAAUUCAAGUUCAUGAUUACCUACAGGGUAAACAUAAGUUUCAUUGAUUCCAAAAAACAUACGAAGUAUAUUAUAAUUAAUGGCAUAUAUGAAAUUAUAGCUAAUGACCAC
rnacentral:lncRNA from 1 species